rnacentral:rRNA from 1 species
GACGAACGCUGGCGGCGUGCUUAACACAUGCAAGUCGAACGGAAAGGCCCUGCUUUUGUGUGGUGCUCGAGUGGCGAACGGGUGAGUAACACGUGAGUAACCUGCCCUUGACUUUGGGAUAACUUCAGGAAACUGGGGCUAAUACCGGAUAGGAGCUCCUGCUGCAUGGUGGGGGUUGGAAAGUUUCGGCGGUUGGGGAUGGACUCGCGGCUUAUCAGCUUGUUGGUGGGGUAGUGGCUUCGCAAGGCUUUGACGGGUAGCCGGCCUGGGAGGGUGACCGGCCACAUUGGGACUGAGGUACGGCCCAGACUCCUACGGGAGGCAGCGGUGGGGAAUAUUGCACAAUGGGCGGAAGCCUGAUGCAGCAACGCCGCGUGCGGGAUGACGGCCUUCGGGUUGUAACCCGCUUUCGCCUGUGACGAAGCGUGAGUGACGGUAAUGGGUAAAGAAGCACCGGCUAACUACGUG